rnacentral:lncRNA from 1 species
CGCUCUUAAUAUUUUCCCAAAGAGUAAAUAUUUUUCUAAGAUGUUAUUCUUAUACAUUUAAAUAUAGAAUUUUUUGCAUAAAUACCCUUCUAAAAAAUUCAAAUUUGUGUGAAUACCUUCUUAAAAUUUAUAUUUAUUUUUGUAACCUCAUAAAACGCUGUUUUUGCACAAAUGCCCCUAACAUAACAGUUCUUCUAACACCGUUAAUAAAAACUAUAUUUAUUUUAAUUAAAAAUAAAUAAAAUAAAAUAUUGAAAUUACUUUUUUGUCCUUCAUCACGAUCAUCUUAUAAAUAUUUAUUUUUGCAUACCUACCCAAUAAGGGUAUUUUAGUUAUUUUAAUUUAAAACUGUUAAUUUUUUAACGGUAUUAGAUAAUGUGGGUAUAUAUGCAAAAAUAAGGAUAAAAAAGGGUAGAAUAGCAAAACAAGUGUUUUACGAGGGUAUACAUGCAAAUAUUAAUUUUGGAAGGGUAUUCAUACAAAAUUUGAUAUUUAGGAGGGUGUCCAUACAAAAAAACUCUUAAGUAUAAUUAGGGGUUGCAGUUUUGACCUAGACCCUUUUACCAAAUCUGAUCCAAGUUAUAGCUGACCAAUCUAACCUGACCCAUUCAUUCCAUGAGUUGGAUAUGGAUUGGUCUUGCCUGACCAACAAAUGGGUCAGGUUAGGUUCAAGUUAAUGAGUCCUAACCCUUUUGAGUCAUUGUGCCUAGCCCAGAUAUC